rnacentral:rRNA from 1 species
AACGAACGCUGGCGGCAUGCCUAACACAUGCAAGUCGAACGAGACCUUCGGGUCUAGUGGCGCACGGGUGCGUAACGCGUGGGAACCUGCCCUUAGGUUCGGAAUAACUCCCCGAAAGGGGUGCUAAUACCGGAUAAUGUCUUCGGACCAAAGAUUUAUCGCCUUUGGAUGGGCCCGCGUUGGAUUAGCUAGUUGGUAGUGUAAAAGCCUACCAAGGCGACGAUCCAUAGCUGGUCUGAGAGGAUGAUCAGCCACACUGGGACUGAGACACGGCCCAGACUCCUACGGGAGGCAGCAGUGGGGAAUAUUGGACGAUGGGCGAAAGCCUGAUCCAGCAAUGCCGCGUGAGUGAUGAAGGCCUUAGGGUUGUAAAGCUCUUUUACCCGGGAUGAUAAUGACAGUACCGGGAGAAUAAGCUCCGGCUAACUCCGUG